rnacentral:rRNA from 1 species
UACGUAGGGGGCAAGCGUUGUCCGGAUUUAUUGGGCGUAAAGAGCGUGUAGGCGGCCAGGUAGGUCCGUUGUGAAAACUGGAGGCUUAACCUCCAGCUGUCGAUGGAAACCAUCUGGCUAGAGUCCGGAAGAGGAGAGUGGAAUUCCUGGUGUAGCGGUGAAAUGCGCAGAUAUCAGGAAGAACACCCGUGGCGAAGGCGGCUCUCUGGGACGGUACUGACGCUGAGACGCGAAAGCGUGGGUAGCAAACGGG